GACGAACGCUGGCGGCGUGCCUAAUACAUGCAAGUCGAGCGAAUCAAUGGGAGCUUGCUCCCUGAGAUUAGCGGCGGACGGGUGAGUAACACGUGGGUAACCUGCCUGUAAGACUGGGAUAACUUCGGGAAACCGGAGCUAAUACCGGAUACUUUCUUUUCUCGCAUGAGGGAAGAUGGAGAGAUGGUUCUGCUAUCACUUACAGAUGGACCCGCGGCGCAUUAGCUAGUUGGUGAGGUAACGGCUCACCAAGGCAACGAUGCGUAGCCGACCUGAGAGGGUGAUCGGCCACACUGGGACUGAGACACGGCCCAGACUCCUACGGGAGGCAGCAGUAGGGAAUCUUCCGCAAUGGACGAAAGUCUGACGGAGCAACGCCGCGUGAGCGAAGGAGGCCUUCGGGUCGUAAAGCUCUGUUGUUAGGGAAGAACAUGUACGAGAGUAACUGCUCGUACCUUGACGGUACCUAACCAGAAAGCCACGGCUAACUACGUGCCAGCCGCCGCGGUAAUAC
rnacentral:rRNA from 1 species